UCAAGUUUAAUUUUUCAUUCAAAAUCUUCUGUUUGCACUCGUGAAUUUUGUAGGCAUCUUCGCACUUGUUUGCGCUGCGUAGUGAAUGACAAGCGUGCUGAGACAACCAGAAGGCAAAGCAUUGAGUGGCCUCCGU
rnacentral:sRNA from 1 species